CCACCAGAUUGGAAUAACCUCUUGAGUCAUUUCAACUCUGUUAUUUUAGGCUGAUUCUUUCAGGGCUGGCUAAUUUCCUUCACCAUGUGCUGACUUUGUAGUUUAGCCUUCAGAGGAUAAUCUUAUUUCUUCUUGUUUCCAAAUCUUGCUAUAGCUCUGAAUCUGGAAAACUAGUGUAAUGAACUUGGCACCUUAUUGAUGGUCAAUAAAUAUCAAUCCUUUCUUUUUUCUUCGGGGGAUAAAAAUACUAUUGCAAUCUAUUAAUGAACAAGGAUUUAAUAAGUGCUGGAAGAGAGUAGUGAGUUAAUAACAAGAGCUCCCUUAUAAAAUAUACUGGAAAAGUAAGUUAAGAACUGUUAUGUGUUUUAUGUAGAAGACUAAUAAUAUGGAUUGCAACUUGAGUCCAAAGGUAUUGUUGACUAAAUGAGAAGAUUGUGAACUGUAUUGCAAUAUAUUAGGAGAAAAGUUUUUUUUAUUCUAAAGUUGCCUGAAAGUUAACAUGAGUUAAUAAGAACCCAAAGAAAAAAACUUCUCAUGCCACUAAUAUAUGUUCCCACCAUAUGUUUAUAUUUACACAUCUUUCUCUUCUACUAAUUUGUGAAAAUUCUUUAAGUCAGGACCUAUUUCUAAUUAAUCUUCUAUCCCUAAUAUAUACCAGUGCUUAUUUCACAAUGGUGCUCAAUUGACGUUUAUGGAAUAUAUGUUGAAUAUACAACUGAAAUUUCCAUUUAAGAAAUUACCUUGUCAGUGGAAUAACUAUAUCCACUUUAUUCUAUUACUAUGUAAACAUUCAGCCCUCUUGCUGCAUUUCUCUCCAGGGGCUAAUAUUUCUCUUCUUUAAGUUUGGACCUUUUGUAAAGGAAUAAGGAAAUGAGGUUUGGAAGUUGAGGUGGGAUACGUAAAUUUUUCUCUUAGGUUUGAUUUUUUGUUUGUUUUAUUUUGAGAAGACUACUCAGGAUUUAAAUACUGAAAUAGUUGCUACCUAUCAAAACAACUCCUCCAAAAUGGAAUAGAAAGAACAAAAUAAGCAAAGACAUUUGGCUGAUACAGCACUCUAACAGACCCAGAGAGUAUCCACUUCAGUUGCCAUGUAUAAUGAUGCUGCCUAAACCUCCAUGUCACAGGAGAAAAAUAACAUGGCCUUCCCAUGAAUUAUGGGAUGGCUCUAAGCAGCUAGCACAGGAAGGAAAACAGAAAACAAACACAGGGUUCCUGGAUGGGGAAGAAUGGGAGAGAAAUGAAUAUGAGUUGUGUGUCUACUUUGAACCAGGUGUUAUGUACAGAUGGUUUUCUAUGGUUUGGUUCAAUCCUAUAAAAAAAAGACAUUAUGUUGAUUUCCAUUCUGGAGAUAUGGAGCCUGAUGUACUCACAGUCAUACAGCUAGUAAGUGGCUGAAAAGUUUAUGUGUGUCUGGCUGGCUCAAAAUGUCUAUCUCUUUUUACUAAACCAGUAUUUCCUAUGUAUUUUUGAGUCGCAGAACAGCCUUGGGCACUAGAUUCAAAUAUACAUUUCCAAGGCUCCACCUGGAGCUCUUCACUGAAUAAAAUUUGAGAUAGGGCUUAAGCAUUUGCACAAUCACAGCCAGAGAGCUUUUAUGACCAGGCAAAGUUUGAGUCUNNNNNNNNNNNCUGAACCAGUAUCCAAAGCCUCAAAAUAUCCCUGAGUGCCAAAAUAAAAUAGCUUAGAUAAGGGGCAAAAAGAUCUUAAAUAUUUCCACCACAAUUUCCAUUAUCUCCAAUUUCCAUUAUCUCCAUUUUUUUAUCCAUAUCCUUCAUUUUAUGAACACUAAAAACAUGUUCAUGUCAUGUCAACUCAACUCAAAGCACCUCUUUCAACCCACUGGCCGUACCAAGACUUGCCUAUCCAAAAUUUUUCACAUUGGAGAGUAUUUAGGUUAGUCAAUUGUAUUCUAGAAACUCUAGGCAAAAAAAAAAAAUGAAUGAAUCAAAUGAUUAUCCACAUUAAUGUGGUUUGAAGGGACCUGACCUUCUCUAACUUAACUCUUCAUUUCUAUCUAUGGCUUUUUGUGUCUCUGUUUCAGUUUUCUCAUCUCUAUUUCUCUGAAAUUUGUGUGGGUAAGUUGUGAAUCUACCUCUUUCCACUAAGCUUUGAAAUGCUUAGGAGUUCUCAUUUAUUAAAGAAAGCCUUCUAAGACCCUCUAUAUAAAUAGACUACUCUGGAGGAGUCAACUUUUAAGUCAGGUUUGUGAAACAUUCCUCUUGAAGUUCCCCUAAUAACAGAGGAAAUUUUCCUUGUGCCUCUGGUUGCUGUGGAAACAAAACCACAGG
rnacentral:lncRNA from 1 species